AUGAGAACUUUAGUGAUUUAGUCAAGUUCUCACAGAAAAUCUGUAGCAAGCCUGGGAAUCAAACCUGUAUCUCUCUCUCCCAGUUAAUAUUUUUUCCAACUUCUCAGACAUCCCUCAGCUGCAUAGUGAGGAAAAGAAACAGACGAUCAGAAAUGUGGACUCUGAGCAAAGGCUGAAGGGGAGGGGAAACUUCUUUCAGAGGUAAUAGGCAAUAGACAUGUUUUUGAUGCAAAGGAAAGAACUGUACCCUUCAUUUAAAUUACCUGUCUGUGAUUACAAAGGUAUAAUAAUAUUCUACCCAGACAAGAUUCUUAAUGAUUCUAUGGGGAAGUUCAUGAGAAUGGUAAAAGUGAAUCAUGAAGCUCUUGCAAUUGUCAACAGUCUUCAGGACUGCUCUUCAAGGAUUUAUGCUGAGAAGUACUACCAGGAUACAUUCCAAGGCUAGUGGGUAUUUUAGUUUAUUGGAGUUUUGCAGCAUCAAGCAGAAAAAUUUAAAAAGCAUUUAUAAAGGGUAGGAGAGGCUGGAAGCCACAAUUAAAAAAAGAAUAAAAUCAUGCCCUGAUUGGUAUGAAAGUAUGCAGGAUCCAUUCAGAAAAAAAGCAGAUGAAGAAACAUUAAUACAGACUCCAGAAUUACAAGCUGAGAUGAAUCAGAGCAUUUCUGGCCUGCAGACAGUGCUGUUAUUAAGAAUUAUUGCUCAUGCAAGGAGCCAAAAAAUGUGCUCAGCUCUGUAUGAGCUGCAAAUAAAGACAAUCCCUGCCGGAGAAUUUUUCUGUCUAGGAUUCCGGUCCUAAGUACUGUUCCUCACAACUCACUGUGUCUAUGCAAAGGCUAGUUAACUCUCAUAGGACACAGAAGUCCAUCUGCAGCAAGACUGUCUACACAGGAUAUGUGACAGACACAUUAAAACAUAGGUUCUGAUGGGUCACCCCAUGGCCCAAGAUUCUCUGUGUUAAAGCACGAGUGAAAGGCACUGCUGGAAGGUCACUCUAGCCUUAAAUUGAUCAAACUGCUUCCUGGAAGACCCCCUUGCUUCCUGCUGGCUACAGAAGUUCCUAAGCACAAACACACACUCAACAUCAAUGCUGCUGUGCCUGACAGUAAAAGAGACGGGUUUUCCUUCCAUGGCCUUAUGGUGAGGUUAAUACACUAUUUUUGACUGGAAAUCUUGGAUAGGCAUGACAGAUACCCUAGGAAAAUCCUAUGACAAAAAGGAUAAUCCAGUGACAGUGAAGGCACAGUCACUGAAAACACUGUGGGACAUCCUUGGUCUGUGCACAAUUCCCAGGCAGAGCAGAGAGACUUCAACCUUCAGGGAAAUCUUGGAAGAAUAACAGAGCAAUA